UACGUAGGGGGCAAGCGUUGUCCGGAUUUAUUGGGCGUAAAGAGCGUGUAGGCGGCCGUACAGGUCAGCUGUGAAAACUCGAGGCUCAACCUCGAGACGUCGGUUGAAACCGUACGGCUAGAGUCCGGAGGAGGAGAGUGGAAUUCCCGGUGUAGCGGUGAAAUGCGCAGAUAUCGGGAAGAACACCCGUGGCGAAGGCGGCUCUCUGGGACGGUACUGACGCUGAGACGCGAAAGCGUGGGGAGCGAACAGG
rnacentral:rRNA from 1 species